rnacentral:rRNA from 1 species
UACGUAGGGUGCGAGCGUUAAUCGGAAUUACUGGGUGUAAAGGGUUCGUAGGCGGUGCGGCAAGUCGGGAGUGAAAUCUCUGGGCUUAACCCAGAGGCUGCUUCCGAAACUGGAGAGCUUGAGUACUUAAGAGGAUCGCGGAAUUCCCGGUGUAGAGGUGAAAUUCGUAGAUAUCGGGAGGAACACCAGUGGCGAAGGCGGCGAUCUGGGAAGAUACUGACGCUGAGGUGCGAAAGCGUGGGGAGCAAACAGG